rnacentral:rRNA from 1 species
UACGUAGGGGGCUAGCGUUGUCCGGAAUCAUUGGGCGUAAAGCGCGUGUAGGCGGUUCGAUAAGUCUGCUGUGAAAGUCCAGGGCUCAACCCUGGGAUGCCGGUGGAUACUGUCGAGCUAGAGUACGGAAGAGGCGAGUGGAAUUCCCGGUGUAGCGGUGAAAUGCGCAGAUAUCGGGAGGAACACCAAUUGCGAAGGCAGCUCGCUGGGACGUCACUGACGCUAAGACGCGAAAGCGUGGGGAGCAAACAGG